rnacentral:lncRNA from 1 species
UUUUAAAUGUGAUACAUUGUUCAAAUACAUUGAUAAAAAAAUUUAUAAAUCUUCAAAGUCACAAGCUCCAAAUCUGUAGAGACAAACCUGAUAUUCAUGAACCAAAAACAUAACCUAAAGACCAACAAGAACUACACAAGUAUUAGAUCUGAGCAAGACCAGAACUUGAGACUACAAGUAUCACAACAACGGAAAAAUAAGAAAAAUCCUCCUUAACACAACAUGAAUAGGAAGAAUUUGACUUCUUAGUACUCCUCUAAACAUUAGAGCCCCAAAGAUGAUAUAACCGAGAGCCACCCUAGGAGACCUCUUUAAAUUGCCAUGAUUGGUUGACUGGGCCACCGAGGCUGCAAGGACGACCACAAACUAGAUAGACUCUCUAUUCAUCUCUUGGAAGAAGGAAAGGAGAGGAACCAAUGGUGGCAAAGACUACGAGGUGGAGAAAGAACCGGUUAAAAGCCACCUCUGCCGAGACUGAAACUGCCAAAUCUUAGACAGAAAGGAGCAGCAACAAACAAAACUAUCAAACAAACCUUAAUCAUGGGUAGAUGUAUGAAUCCUCUGACUAUAAACAGUAACCAAGACAAAACCCGAGCGUCCUCAUAUCUUACAUCAAUACGACGCAAACAAAGAAAAACUUCACCGCUCAGCCUCUUCCCCUUUUGGAUUAGGAUAUCUUCUUAAACUUUCAUCGGAUUCAACUAGUUAGUUGAUGAUGAAUGCAUAGUUGAAAUGUCCUCACUUCUCUCUCUCUUCAAAAUCCCUGACUUCUCUCUAGUUUUUAUUCAAAUUGAUAUCGUCGGUUCCGCAAUUUCGGCUGCUCUCUUGAGCCGGAGUCGGGUUAGCUUGUUACUAUGUUUUUCUUUGGGAUCUUCGGAUCCGAUCUUCAUUUUUUUUCUAUUUCUGUUCAACGGUUUAGCUACUUUCUAGAUUUUGAUAUUUGAUUUUGAAUUUAUGCCUUCUCGGUUUCUCCAGAGUGGUUGAAUCAGGGGUUGCUUUGAUACGUUCUUUGUCAUUUACCUUAAGAUCUUAUUGAGAUACAUCCAUCUCUUCAUCAUGCUUCAUUCGGGCGUUUCAAAUAGGUCGUACUCCACCAUCACCAUUUCCGGCUGAAGGCUUAGGAAUUUAAAAAGUUUUGUCUUGCUAGUGGUAGAAGAUUUGGUCUCUUAAUUGCAUGAACUAUUCACUAUAGGAGGUUUCACAAGUUAGUGGAUUCGCUUUGUUUUGUUUCCUCGAAUUGUCUCUCUUAAAGAAACCUUGUUGAUGUUUUCAUGACAAUUUGUUUCCUUGAAGUUAUGAGAUUCAAUAAUUUAUAUUUGAUAGUACUAAUUCAUCUUGUUUUUCAUUCGGGGACUUAUGUUUUUGGGAACUUUUAUUUUCUCCGCCUGUUAUUGAUAUCUUUUAUUUUUCUGCCG